rnacentral:lncRNA from 1 species
GCUUUGCUUUCUAUUUCUACAGGCAAGUCUGAGCAGUAAUCAUCCCAAUGGUUGCUAGUCUGAUAACACCAGAACCCAAUGGCCAAUAUUAACAUCACAAAAAAGAGAGAGAACUAGACAUUAUGUCCUGCUUUAUGGGGUACAAAGAAGUACACACCACCUCCUAUGAAGAAUUCAUAGGUGAACCUGAAUUUGAUCAAACCUCUAGAUCUAACUACCAGUUUUCAGAAAAUACAGGUGACUGAGGAAGUUGAGAUAGCAAUAGGUGAUGAAAUUAACCAAAUCCAGAAUUUGAGAACCUUUAUAGGAUACACGACUCAGUUUCUUUAAUGGCAAAUUAAAAAAAAAAAUAAGUGUGGAGGAGGAGUAGACAUCAGAAUGGAGGUCAAAGCCAAGGUUCCAUCUCUUCUCCCUGCUACAGAGAUAUGAGGCCCCAACUCCCUAAAUACUCAGAAGCCACCUCAGAGGAAACAGGGAGAAAAUCUGAAACAGAAGAGAGACUGGACAACAUUUUUCUCCAGCCCUCUGUGGGGCAGGCACACAUGAGAAUCAGCAGAUCUGUUACAGGCAACAAAGGAGCUGUGUUUUCUUGGGGUAUAUAUUCCCAAAGGCGAUGCCUGCUGGAAAUGACUCCUCUGGGCCUGCAUUUACUCUUGCUAGGUUGACAAGUUGUCUCCAUGGUGGGGAACCUGGCCUUGAUUGCUCUAAUUGGCUGAAAUUCAUACCUUCCCACCCCCAAGCUCUGUUUUCUUUCACCCAGUCCUUCCCUGAUCUCUAUUGUCCUGUUUGCACCCCCAGAAUGCUCAUGACUUUUGUAUCAAAGAAAAACAUCUUCUAUGUCAGGUGCAUGACUCAGCUGUUUUUCUUUUUAUUUUAAACACUUUCUUUAAAGACAGGGUCUUCUUGUUCUGUCACCCAAGCUGGAGUGCAGUGGCACAAUCAUAGCUCACUGCAACCUUGAACUCCUGGCUCAAGUGAUCCUCCCACCUCAGCCUCCCAGGUAAGUAUGACGAUAGGAUACCACGUAAAACCACACCUGGCUAAUUUUUUAAAUUUUUGUAGACAUGAGGUCUUGCUAUGUUGCCCAGGCAGUCUUGAUCUUCCGGACUCAAGUGAUCCUCCCACCUCAGUCUCCCAAAGUGCUGGGAUUACAGGCGUGAGCCAUCGCACCCGGCCUCGCAGCUUUUCUUUCUCUUUAUUGUCCUCUCUAUAAAUACCACGUGUUGAUGUUCAUAGCCUGUGGUUGCUUUGUGGCCAUCUACAAUCCAUCAUUGCAUGAGGUCACCAUGUCUCCUCAGGUGAGAGAGAGAGAGAGACUGGAUUUGCUGGAACCACUCCCACACAGGGCACAUACUUAGGCCGACCUUUUGUAGUAUUGAUGUCAUCAACCAUCAUCUUAUGACAGCCUCUUGGUCCUCUAAGUUUCUUGUACCAGCACCUGUGCCAAUGAAGUAGUGGUUUUCACUGUGGUGGGUAUUAAUAGUACAGUAUCCAGUCUUUGCUUCUCUUACUUUCAUUUAACUUGCUCAAGGCAAACUAAAACCUUUCAGCACCUGCAGCUUUCACGUCAAUGCCAUUUCUGUUUUCUUUGAGUCAGUGGCAUUCAUGUAUCUCAAAUAUUUUUCUCCAGGGUCUAUGAACCAGGAGAUGUUGCUUUCUGUUUUCUGUUACAAUUUGAGGUCUGUGCUGAACUCCCUGUUUAAAGCCUGAGGAACAAGAAGAAUGCUGGUUAAAAAUCCAGGAAAGUGGUGAUAAUGUAGGGAGAUCUGUGAUGGUUAAUUAUAUGUGUCAACCUGACCGGGCUAACGAAUGCCCAGAUGGCUGGUAAAACAUUGUCUGUGAGAAUGCUUCUCAAAGAAAUUAGCAUGUGAGUAGGCGAACUGAGUAAAUCAAAUGGCCCUCCCCAAGGUGGGUAGUCAUCAUCCAACCCAUUGAGGAUGUGAAUUAAAGAAAAGGUGGAGAAAGGACAAAUUCACUCUCUCUUUCUCACUCUCUUUUUUUUUUUUUUUUUUUUUUUUUGAGACAGAACCUUGCUCUGUUGCUCAGGCUGAAGUGCAGUGGCGCAAUCUUGGCUCAUUGCUGCAAAUUCUGCCUCCUGGGCACAAGUAAUUCUCCCACUUCAGCCUCCUAAGUAGUUAGGACUACAGGCGUGGACCACCACCCCUGGCUAAUUUUUGUAUUUUUUUGUAGAGACAGGGUCUUGCCACAUUGCCCAGGCUGGUCUUGAACUCCUGGGUUCUUGAACUCCUGGGUUCCAGCAAUCUGCCUGCCUUGGCCUCCCAAAGUGUUGGAAUUAUAGGUGUGAGCCACUGCACCCCACUUUUUUUUAUUUUAGAAACAGAUGCUCUGUUUCCCAGAGCGAUCAUAGCUCACUGCAUAGCUCACUGCAGCCUCGAACUCCUGGGUUCAAGCAAUCCUUCCACCCCAGCCCUUGAGUAGCUAGGACUACAGGUGUGAACCACCACACUUGGCUAAUUUAAAAACUCUUUUUUAUAGAAACAAGGUAUCGCUUUGUUGCCCAGGCUGGUCUCGAACUCCUUGACUGCAGUGAUCCUCCCGCCUAGGUCUCCCAAAAUGUUUGGAUUAUAGGCAUGACCCACCGCACUCAGCAUGCUCUCUUUUUGAGAGGGAACAUCCACCUUCUCCUGCCCUUGGAAAUUGGGGUUCUGGUCCUUGGGCCUUCAGACUUGGCCUAAAUGACACCAACAGCUUUCCUGGUUUUCCAAUUUACAGACAGACAGUAGAUCAUGAGACUUCUCAGAUUCCAUAAUCCUGUGAGCCAGCCAGGCUGGAGUGCAGUGGCGUGAAGGCUCACUGCAGCCUUGACUU